CGGAGAAGAAUGGUUUUUAGAGACAACACAUUAGUAAGGUGGGAGUGAACCGUGUGGGAGUGAACCGGUAGGGACUCACGGCCCGGGUCAUUAUGUACCAACUUGUCUGAGUCAACAAGAACCCACCCAUUUGGUUCCACCACAACCCAUUUUGCGGAAUUUUAUGGGGAACAAACAAAAGUUAGAUAAAUUCCGGGAAUAUUCUGUGAAGUCAUGAUUCUAGAGAGGUUAUGGAUCAAGUACCUCUCUCUCGUGUUGCAUCU